CCAGAGAACUUUCCAGAGAUGGAUUGGUGCCUUUCGGGAACUCUGAGACAGGUGCUGCAUGGCUGUCGUCAGCUCGUGUUGUGAAAUGUUGGGUUAAGUCCCGCAACGAGCGCAACCCUUAUCCUUUGUUGCCAGCGGUUAGGCCGGGAACUCAAAGGAGACUGCCAGUGAUAAACUGGAGGAAGGUGGGAUGACGUCAAGUCAUCAUGGCCCUUACGAGUAGGGCUACACACGUGCUACAAUGGCGCAUACAAAGAGAAGCGACCUCGCGAGAGCAAGCGGACCUCAUAAAGUGCGUCGUAGUCCGGAUUGGAGUCUGCAACUCGACUCCAUGAAGUCGGAAUCGCUAGUAAUCGUGGAUCAGAAUGCCACGGUGAAUACGUUCCCGGGCCUUGUACACACCGCCCGUCACACCAUGGGAGUGGGUUGCAAAAGAAGUAGGUAGCUUAACCUUCGGGAGGGCGCUUACCACUUUGUGAUUCAUGACUGGGGUGAAGUCGUAACAAGGUAGGCGUAGUGCU
rnacentral:rRNA from 1 species